UGUGGUCAUUUGGAACUUGAUUCU
rnacentral:piRNA from 1 species